AGCAGUAGCCACGGGAAUACGGAGGGUGCAAGCGUUAAUCGGAAUUACUGGGCGUAAAGCGCACGCAGGCGGUCUGACAAGUCAGAUGUGAAAUCCCCGGGCUUAACCUGGGAACUGCAUUUGAAACUGUCAGGCUGGAGUCUUGUAGAGGGGGGUGGAAUUCCAGGUGUAGCGGUGAAAUGCGUAGAGAUCUGGAGGAAUACCGGUGGCGAAGGCGGCCCCCUGGACAAAGACUGACGCUCAGGUGCGAAAGCGUGGGGAGCAAACAGGAUUAGAUACCCGCGUAGUCCCUGUCUCUUAUAC
rnacentral:rRNA from 1 species